GCUCAACGCAUCGGUAAUCCACCAUUUUGUUCAGAGUGUGGUAGUCUGUUGCCUUUGCCCGAUGGCCAAGAUUUUAUAAAAUGCGGGCUGUGUUUUAAUUCCGUAAAAGCUUCAGGUUUUAACAUAUUCCCAUUUAUGACAGUUUCUUGCAUUAUAUCAUGAAAGUAUACGAACAAAGUAAAAAUAAAACGCGGAGUAGAGAAGACGCAUUUUCUUCUCGUUCACUUCUAUUGUCACAAGUUCAAUAUACAGAAAAAGCUGCGAAGAUUGAGGAGAAGUGUCCCAAGUGUGGACAUCCUGAAAUGUCCUUUCACACAAUGCAACUGCGUUCAGCUGAUGAAGGACAAACUGUUUUCUUUUCGUGUCUCAAAUGCGGAUAUAACUAUUCAGUGAACUCAUGAAUGUUAAGUAAAUAUUUUACUGAAUCCAA